AGUGAACGCUGGCGGUAGGCCUAACACAUGCAAGUCGAACGGCAGCACAGUAAGAGCUUGCUCUUACGGGUGGCGAGUGGCGGACGGGUGAGGAAUACAUCGGAAUCUACUUUUUCGUGGGGGAUAACGUAGGGAAACUUACGCUAAUACCGCAUACGACCUACGGGUGAAAGCAGGGGAUCUUCGCACCUUGCGCGAUUGAAUGAGCCGAUGUCGGAUUAGCUAGUUGGCGGGGUAAAGGCUCACCAAGGCAACGAUCCGUAGCAGGUCUGAGAGGAUGAUCAGCCACACUGGAACUGAGACACGGUCCAGACUCCUACGGGAGGCAGCAGUGGGGAAUAUUGGACAAUGGGCGCAAGCCUGAUCCAGCCAUACCGCGUGGGUGAAGAAGGCCUUCGGGUUGUAAAGCCCUUUUGUUAGGAAAGAAAAUCUGCGGAUUAAUACCCCGCUGUUCUGACGGUACCCAAAGAAUAAGCACCGGCUAACUUCGUG
rnacentral:rRNA from 1 species